ACCGAUUAAAUUUUAAUGACUUUAAAAGGGCCACAAACAGUUAUUAUUUUCCAGAUCUGUUAUCUGAUAAAAUUACGGCGAUAUAUACUCUAUUUAAGAACAUAAUUCCAAAAACAGACAGUAGAAACCAUAUUUUGCUCAAAGACGCGAUUAACUAUUUUGGAACAGAAACAUACCUUGAAUGUACGCUCGUUCGACUUUUUAAAAAAUACGGAAAAUUCGAACACGGCGUUCGGUACUUGUAUACUACCAAACUAGAUGUUAAACUACACUUUGAAUGGAAUGGU